GAUGAAGAACGCAGCGAAAUGCGAUAAGUAAUGUGAAUUGCAGAAUUCCGUGAAUCAUCGAAUCUUUGAACGCACAUUGCGCCCCCAGGCAUUCCGGGGGGCAUGCCUGUCCGAGCGUCAUUUCUGCCCUCCAGCCCGGCUGGGUGUUGGGCGCUGUCCCCCCGGGGACACGCCCCAAAGGCAGUGGCGGCGCCGCGUCGGGUCCUCGAGCGUAUGGGGCUUUGUCACCCGCUCGGGACGGACUCGUCGGCGCUGGUCUUCCUCCAGGCGACCCUUCGGGGCUCGUCUUCCUUCGGUUGACCUCGGAUCAGGUAGGGUUACCCGCUGAACUUAAGCAUAUCAAUAAGCGGAGGA
rnacentral:misc_RNA from 1 species